rnacentral:rRNA from 1 species
UACGGAGGGGGCUAGCGUUGUUCGGAAUUACUGGGCGUAAAGCGCACGUAGGCGGAUUGGAAAGUUGGGGGUGAAAUCCCGGGGCUCAACCCCGGAACUGCCUUCAAAACUCCCAGUCUGGAGGUCGAGAGAGGUGAGUGGAAUUCCGAGUGUAGAGGUGAAAUUCGUAGAUAUUCGGAAGAACACCAGUGGCGAAGGCGACUUACUGGACACAUAUUGACGCUGAGGUGCGAAAGCGUGGGGAGCAAACAGG